GAUAAAAUGACCGAAGGAUUAGGUGUAGGAUUGUAAAUCCUUUUAUAGAUAUAAAGUCUUUUUAUCA
rnacentral:tRNA from 1 species